rnacentral:RNase_P_RNA from 1 species
CCGGGUGACCGGUCCGGCUUGGUAAACCCCACCCGGAGCAAGACCAGACAGGAAGGACGGCAUCGCCUCUGUUUCAGGAGCGGUGCCACGGGCUGGUCCGGCCCGUUCGACUUCCGGGUCGGUCGCUUGAGGCGGCAGGCAACUGCCGUCCCAGAGAAAUGGCUGCCCCCGACAGAACCCGGCUUAUCGGCCCGCUCCGUUC